CUGAUUUGGAAAUAUAAUGGAUUUGUUGUCAUUGCAGAAUCAUUGGAGGAUUUUAUUAAAGGUGCCGUUUUCCAGAUACUGGAAAUGCUCAAGAUCAAAUAUUUAUGAUUCAGCUUGUAGCUGUUUCCCCUAGACGGACAUCCACGCAGAACAACAUUAUUUCUAGGCCGAUCUGCCUCGGGACGGCUAGUGGCCUCUUCAAAUGGAGGGUAUUUGCAUCAAGCAGGAAUCAUAAAAUCAGAGACCUCUGUGGGGCUCUGAGCCAAUCCCUACGUUUCCAGAAAGAAGCCGAGAUGUGGA